rnacentral:sRNA from 1 species
AACAUAAAUCACAUUUUGUUUUCCUUUCUUGAAUGCAUUUAUCGUUUAGACUUAAGUUUUACCUUAAAUUUACCUUUCGUACGUGAUGAUUGGAGAGCUUGAUUUUCCAUUUGUAAGAAGUGACUCAGAUUUUAGUUUUCGGGUCUAAGUGUGGGAGAAACUCGGUGAAAGAGAGGGUUCGAAGUCUGUUGUGACUAAAGUCAUAACACGUGAGGCGAGCUGACUAAAGUCAUAACACGUGAGGCGAGCUGACUAAGGUCAUAACAAGCUUGAGGGCGUUUUGGUCUUUUCGCAUGAGCUCUGUAACUAUAUCUUCUUCUUCUUCUCUGUAAUUCUGUUAGAUCGGAGAUAGAGAAAGAGAGAGAAUUGUAAUCAAGUUCUAGAGAGAACUAGAGAGAGAAAACUUGUAAAGAUACAUUGUAAAGAAAGGUUCUAGUGGAUUUCCGGAGAGAUUCUCCGGCGAGACGUAGCGAUUCCGGUUGAGGAACGUGAACUCGUUAAAUCGUGUGUGUCUUUGUUUCUUUAAGUUAGGCGCCGGUAGCACCGGUACUAA